AAGAAGACAGACUAGAUGCAGUUAAGGUUUAUUCACAGUGUUGGACACCCCCUCUGGAAACUUGGGUUGGGUACCAGCAGUGACUCCACUAUGUGAAGACCCAGGAGGCCUCAUGUGAAGCAGAUGAAAGUCUGAGAAGGUUUGCCUGUCUCUCAGAGCCAGGACCACUGUGGAGCAACAGCUCUGUUUCACACACUUUCUUCUGCCCCAUGGCUCUGCUUCCCUUGCAAUGCUGGGUUUAGGUUGCUGAAGGUUCUUCACAGAGGAAAUUUGAAUAGAGCAGCUUACAUUUACUGUCAAUCAGAAUCACCAUGGAGCUCCUGGGGCACAUUCUAC
rnacentral:lncRNA from 1 species